GCAUGGCUGGUUGGCUACGUUCGGAAAGGAUAACCGCUGAAAGCAUCUAAGCGGGAAGCCUGCUUCGAGAUGAGUAUUCCCACCCCCUUUGAGGGGUUAAGGCUCCCAGUAGACGACUGGGUUGAUAGGCCAGAUCUGGAAGCCCGGUAACGGGUGGAGGUGACUGGUACUAAUAGGCCGAGGGCUUGUCCUCAGUUG
rnacentral:rRNA from 1 species